GGCAGAGACUCAAAUUUACUGCGUGGAAGAAGGCAAUGUGUUGUCACUGGAGUGAAUCAAAGCCGGCAGUCAGACGGCAAUGAAAGCUAAAACGGAGAAGCCAUAGUGAUUUGAAGUAGCUCCGUCCAAGAAGGCUCUUUGGAGAACAAUGGCGUCCAUUCAGUAGUGGCCACUGGACCCCAAGAGAGAUGCAAUAGGAUAGUAGGUUUUAGUGUCAUGAAGAUUCAGGAAGUGAUCAGAGGAGGCAUCAAAUUCAACCCAACUGGAUUUGAAAAAGUCCCCAAGGACUAAUUAUCACCCAACAACUAACUGCUGUUACUGGAUAAUCAGGUUUCUCAUCAUUCCAUUAAUAAAUUGUGACUGCAUGUGGUUGGUGGUGAUGAGGAAAAUGCCACCACAGUGGAAUUAUGCCAAUUUUAGAGACAAAGAGAAAAUAAAAUUAAUCAGCCAACAUUUUUUAUCCUAACCCUGGGGUCACUUUCAUAGAGACAAGGGAGGAAGAAAUGGAUAGACAUGCAAAGAUACACAGGAAGACAGAUAUAAUGUGACCAUGAUUUCUCUAAAGAUAUUUGUUUCAUUAUAUUCAAAUUUAAAAACACACCCAAACCAAUGCAAAUGGUUUACCAAUAGUAAAAUUGAGAUUUCUAGAGUCACCAUUUCCAAUUCCCCUCACUCUGUAAGCUCUGUGGCUGGCAAAGUUAAGUAAUCGUGGUAAUGAAACUGAUCCCUUACCCUCAGCUAUCCCUCAUUUGAAAUUUC